rnacentral:rRNA from 1 species
GCUAGUAAUCGCGGAUCAGCAUGCCGCGGUGAAUACGUUCCCGGGCCUUGUACACACCGCCCGUCACACCAUGAGAGUUUGUAACACCCAAAGCCGGUGGGGUAACCUUUUGGAGCCAGCCGUCUAAGGUGGGACAGAUGAUUGGGGUGAAGUCGUAACAAGGUAAC